AUUGAACGCUGGCGGCAGGCUUAACACAUGCAAGUCGAGCGGGGAAGGGUAGCUUGCUACCUGACCUAGCGGCGGACGGGUGAGUAAUGCUUAGGAAUCUGCCUAUUAGGGGGGGACAACAUUCCGAAAGGAAUGCUAAUACCGCAUACGCCCUACUGGUGAAAGCAGGGGAUCUUCGGACCUUGCGCUAAUAGAUGAGCCUAAGUCAGAUUAGCUAGUUGGUGGGGUAAAGGCCUACCAAGGCGACGAUCUGUAGCGGGUCUGAGAGGAUGAUCCGCCACACUGGGACUGAGACACGGCCCAGACUCCUACGGGAGGCAGCAGUGGGGAAUAUUGGACAGUGGGCGAAAGCCUGAUCCAGCCAUGCCGCGUGUGUGAAGAAGGCCUUUUGGUUGUAAAGCACUUUAAGCGAGGAGGAGGCUACUUAGAUUAAUACUCUAGGAUAGUGGACGUUACUCGCAGAAUAAGCACCGGCUAACUCUGUGCCAGCCGCCGCGGUAAAAC
rnacentral:rRNA from 1 species